CUGUAUGGAGAACAGGGGCGCUGGGUUUGGGGACCCCAAGAUGGAGCUGAAGCUGCCGACUGGUCUACCCUCCUAGCUCUGCCCCGCCCCACUGCCAAAGUGAGUAAGCUGAGGCCCAGAGAAAAGAAGGAUGCACCUGAGGCCACACAGAGGACAUCGUGGAGGCGGUCUUUGGGGGAAAUGGAAAAGGAAGCAGAAGAGAGGCUUUCCAGAGUUUCCUCAGACCCAGGACCUUGAAUCUUUCCUUCAGCUACUUCUAGGACAUUGAUGGUAGCGCUAGAGCCUUCCAGGAAAAUAAUCAAGUAGAAGACCUAGAAGACCUAGAAGACCUCGUGUCUGCUAUCUACUCUCUCAUUCCAGCUACAGUGAGACCCUGUCACAGAGAGACAGUUCUGGGAACAACCCUGGACAGGGAAUGUGGUCACCAGGCAGUGCUGUGUCCAGGCCUGAGAGGCCACAAGAGCAUGGAAGUCAGGGUGUGACUCAAAGGACAGGAGGAAGGAGUUGGGGUAAGUGCACUCAGGAAGUUCACUGAUUUAUUUGUUCAG